UACGUAGGUGGCAAGCGUUGUCCGGAUUUAUUGGGCGUAAAGAGCGUGUAGGCGGUUCGGUAAGUCUGUCGUGAAAUCCUGAGGCUCAACCUCGGACGUGCGAUGGAUACUGCCGGGCUAGAGGAUGGUAGAGGCGAGUGGAAUUCCCGGUGUAGCGGUGAAAUGCGUAGAUAUUGGGAGGAACACCGGUGGCGAAGGCGGCCCCCUGGACCGGUACUGACGCUGAGGCGCGAAAGCGUGGGUAGCAAACGGG
rnacentral:rRNA from 1 species